UACGGAGGGGGCUAGCGUUGUUCGGCAUUACUGGGCGUAAAGCGCACGUAGGCGGCUUUGUAAGUUAGAGGUGAAAGCCCGGGGCUCAACUCCGGAAUUGCCUUUAAGACUGCAUCGCUCGAAUUGUGGAGAGGUAAGUGGAAUUCCGAGUGUAGAGGUGAAAUUCGUAGAUAUUCGGAAGAACACCAGUGGCGAAGGCGACUUACUGGACACAUAUUGACGCUGAGGUGCGAAAGCGUGGGGAGCAAACAGG
rnacentral:rRNA from 1 species